rnacentral:rRNA from 1 species
UGAUCAUGGCUCAGAUUGAACGCUGGCGGCAGGCCUAACACAUGCAAGUCGAGCGGCAGCACGGGUACUUGUACCUGGUGGCGAGCGGCGGACGGGUGAGUAAUGCCUAGGAAUCUGCCUGGUAGUGGGGGAUAACGCUCGGAAACUGACGCUAAUACCGCAUACGUCCUACGGGAGAAAGCAGGGGACCUUCGGGCCUUGCGCUAUCAGAUGAGCCUAGGUCGGAUUAGCUAGUUGGUGAGGUAAUGGCUCACCAAGGCGACGAUCCGUAACUGGUCUGAGAGGAUGAUCAGUCACACUGGAACUGAGACACGGUCCAGACUCCUACGGGAGGCAGCAGUGGGGAAUAUUGGACAAUGGGCGAAAGCCUGAUCCAGCCAUGCCGCGUGUGUGAAGAAGGUCUUCGGUUUGUAAAGCACUUUAAGUUGGGAGGAAGGGCAUUUACCUAAUACGUAAGUGUUUUGACGUUACCGACAGAAUAAGCACCGGCUAACUCUGUGCCAGCAGCCGCGGUAAUACAGAGGGUGCAAGCGUUAAUCGGAAUUACUGGGCGUAAAGCGCGCGUAGGUGGUUCGUUAAGUUGGAUGUGAAAUCCCCGGGCUCAACCUGGGAACUGCAUUCAAAACUGUCGAGCUAGAGUAUGGUAGAGGGUGGGUGGAAUUUCCUGUGUAGCGGUGAAAUGCGUAGAUAUAGGAAGGAACACCAGUGGCGAAGGCGACCACCUGGACUGAUACUGACACUGAGGUGCGAAAGCGUGGGGAGCAACAG